rnacentral:rRNA from 1 species
GACGAACGCUGGCGGCGUGCUUAACACAUGCAAGUCGAACGGAAAGGCCCUGCUUUUGUUGGUUGCUCGAGUGGCGAACGGGUGAGUAACACGUGAGUAACCUGCCCUUGACUUUGGGAUAACUUCAGGAAACUGGGGCUAAUACCGGGUAGGAGCUCCUGCUGCAUGGUGGGGGUUGGAAAGUUUCGGCCGUUGGGGAUGGACUCGCGGCUUAUCAGCUUGUUGGGGGGGUAGUGGCUUACCAAGGCUUUGACGGGUAGCCGGCAUGAGAGCGUGAACGGGCACAUUGGGACUGAGAUACGGCCCAGAAUCCUACGGGAGGCAGUAGUGGGGAAUAUUGCACAAUGGGGGGAAGUCUGAUGCAGCAAUGCCGCGUGCGGGAUGAUGGCCUUCGGGUUGUAAACCGAUUUCGAAUGUGACGAAGAGUGAGUGACGGUAAUGGGUAAAGAAGCACCGGCUAACUACGUG